ACAAUUGGGAACAAUGUUCUCCAUCUGCAUGGUCUGCCCACCCAGGAGUACUGGUAUUGGCUUGGUGUUGGUGUUUUAUUGGCGUAUUCUAUCCUCUUCAACAUUUUGUGCACCCUUGCCUUUGCAUACCUUAACCCACUGGGAAAGGCACAGGCAGUGAUCCCAUCGGAUUCUGCAGAAAAGAAGGACGAGGGUGUUUUAGGCACUAACUCUGAAAUGGGAUCUAAAGUAAGCAACAGGCCCGAGUCAUCUCAAAUGAGAACUUCAGAAGGAAGUACCCCGAAGAGAGGAAUGAUCCUUUCCUUCCAACCAGUAUCCAUGACAUUUCAUAAUGUCAAUUACUUUGUUGACAUG